UCAAGUAUUUUUGGAUUGCUUGGCACAUCAUCAAGACGUACAGGAAACUCUACACCAGGAGAUCUAAGAACACAUGAGUUGUCAUGGUGAUUUGACAGCAGAUACUUUACCUAAGAUGAAAUAUUUAACAGCAUGUUUAAAAGAGUCGUUUAGACAAAUAUAUUUUUGAAUAACCGACGGAAGAUGAGGGAUCCAAAAUAUGUAAAAGAUCCAACCGUUUAUAGACCAGAAAGGUGGUUACGAGAUGAGAAAGGUGAAAAGGCAGAACAAAUACCUAGUAUAGGUUUAAUAUCGUUCAAUAUAGGUGUUAGAAACUGUGUUGGUAGACGAUUCGCUGAACAAGAAAUUUAUUUAGCAGUUGCUAAGAUUAUCCAGAACUUCAAAAUAAGCACAAACCACAACUCGGCAGAAGUCACAUAUACCCCUUUUUGCACUUUGACUGACCAACCAAUGCUCACGUUUGAAGAAUGAAUUUAAAAUAAGUUCCUGUGACAGAACACAAUAACCAUGUACUUACAUUAAGUGUACAUUAUUACGUAUAAUCAGUACACCAAUGAGAUCAUUUCAAAUAAGAGAUUAUUUAUACAGCUGAAGAUGUCUGGAUGCAUGGUGUUCCACGGGCUUCUGUUCUGGGGUCUCUGGUUGUUAAUACACCUGUUGGUGUUAUAGCAUAAAAUCAAAAUAGAGUCUUUCUGAUGUUAUUUUAUACGCAAAAAUCAACCAAUAAUGAUCUGUACUAAAAAAAAAGAAAAACUAAAACAUGCUUCAUGAAGUGGCAAUGUCGAUUGUCUGUGAUUUGACUCUACUGUUCAUUUUAAGGUGUUAAAAUUAGAUUUUAUGCAAAACCGAAGACAAGAUCUGCUAAUCCAUAAGGUGGG